GAUGAAGAACGUAGCGAAAUGCGAUAAGUAAUGUGAAUUGCAGAAUUCAGUGAAUCAUCGAAUCUUUGAACGCACAUUGCGCCCGCCAGUAUUCUGGCGGGCAUGCCUGUUCGAGCGUCAUUACAACCCUCAGGCCCCCGGGCCUGGCGUUGGGGAUCGGCGGAAGCCCCCUGCGGGCACAACGCCGUCCCCCAAAUACAGUGGCGGUCCCGCCGCAGCUUCCAUUGCGUAGUAGCUAACACCUCGCAACUGGAGAGCGGCGCGGCCACGCCGUAAAACACCCAAUUUUCAAUGGUUGACCUCGGAUCAGGUGGGAAUACCCGCUGAACUUAAGCAUAUCAAUAAGCGGAGGA
rnacentral:misc_RNA from 1 species